GCUACAGGACCGGUACUCCCUUCUCCGACGAACUCCACUAUCAGAAAUGUGUUGGUCCUGAGAUGCCAUCAACUAGAUGAAUACCAAGUUCUGAGGAUGGAAGGGGAUAAUCAAAAAAAGGUUCAUGAUUGUUGAAGCUUUGCAUUUCUGAGAACCUUCUCACAAUUUGACUCAGUGGACAUGUAGGUUUCCGCAGGAGUCUCUUCAGCUUGUUAAGGUGAUCCUCGUACUGGAAAGCACUGAAGUUGUCGAGGACACCAUGGUGUUUUGCAUCUUCUGCAAGAUGUACAAGACAGUGGACGUUGUAGGACAGGAAUUUGGGGCCAUAUAGCUGUCCAAAGUGUGUGACAAAAAGUCGCAGAAUAUCAUUGGCAUAGUCAAUGUGAUCACCAAUUAGGCUGUUAUUGCACAAGAUGAAGAUUCCCACAAAAAACAGCAGGAAGUUUUUGUACACCUCCGUGCUGAGUAGGUCUUUCAGCAUAACAGGGCCUGUGUACAAUAAAAACUGUCUAAACUCUGUCGCCUUCCAUCGAUCUAUUUCCCCUCACUGCCCUCGGUUUGCGCGCAAAUUCCAUAGGCACAUUUUUUUUGGCACCAACCAACCUUUCUGUCAGCACAGUGGCUUGAAAUCCUGACAGCCUGCAAGUUAGAGCACCCAGUCGAAGCCACAAGUGGAGAAGCCGCCUCAUGACACCAAGGCACACAAGGUGCAUGUAAUCAAGGGGGAAUCCAGAGACCAUAUCCAAGGAUGUUUCUUCUAGAGGGAAUGUCAUCCUGUUCUCCAGGUGCACACCAUCCUGAAUGCACUUUUCGCAUCCAUGGUAGCCUGCGUGGCCCUUCACUUUUUUCAGAAAUGCACGUGCAGAUGAAGUCCUCAAGAUACUCAUCCAGUGAGCUUGGUUUACUAUCACCACAAAAUAAACCUAUUGUCACAGGUUCCUCCUGCACCAAAUGUUGCACAGUUACAAGAAUGGGCCAGAAUUUGAGUUGCUGAACUCUUGUAGAGAGGCAGACCAUCGAUGCUCACCUGGAGCUUCAAAUUGCUCACGUUCUGCAAAAUGUCCAUGUUGUUGUAGAGUACACCCGAAAUGGAUUCCAGUAGACCAAAAUGAUAGUA